UCAAGUUAUUAAGGGUGCAGGGCGGAUGCCUUGGCACUAGGAGCCGAUGAAGGACGUGAUAAGCUGCGAUAAGCUUCGGGGAGUUGCACGUAAACUUUGAUCCGAAGAUUUCCGAAUGAGGAAACUCACUUAGAGUAAUGUCUAAGUAUCAUUAAGUGAAUACAUAGCUUAAUGAGGGGAACUCAGGGAACUGAAACAUCUAAGUACCUGAAGGAAGAGAAAGAAAUUCGAUUCCGUAAGUAGCGGCGAGCGAACGCGGAUUAGCCCAAACCAAUAAAGUUUUCUUUAUUGGGGUUGCGGACAUAUCAUAACGAAGAGGUAUCGUAAUUGAAGAGGUUUGGAAAGACCCACCACAGAAGGUAAUAGUCCUGUAUGUUAAACGAGAAGACUUCAGAUAUGAUCCAGAGUACCACGGGACACGUGAAACCCUGUGGGAAGCAGGAGGGACCACCCUCCAAGGCUAAAUACUACCUAGUGACCGAUAGCGUAUAGUACCGUGAGGGAAAGGUGAAAAGAACCCCGGGAGGGGAGUGAAAUAGAACCUGAAACCCUGCACUUACAAGCUGUGGAAGCACAUUUCUUGUGUGACCGCGUACUUUUUGUAGAACGGGCCAACGAGUUACGUUAAGUAGCAAGGUUAAGCACUUAAGGUGCGGAGCCGUAGCGAAAGCGAGUUUUAACUGAGCGUUCAGUUACUUGACGUAGACCCGAAACCGGGCGACCUACCCAUGAGCAGGAUGAAGCGAAAGUAAAAUUUCGUGGAGGUCCGAACCCACGAGCGUUGAAAAGCUCGGGGAUGACUUGUGGGUAGCGGUGAAAUUCCAAUCGAGCCCGGAGAUAGCUGGUUCUCCCCGAAAUAGCUUUAGGGCUAGCCUCAAGGUGAGAGAUACGGAGGUAGAGCACUGAAUGUCCUAGGGGGUAUUGCACCUACCGAAGACUAUCAAACUCCGAAUGCCGUCAUCUUAUACUUGGGAGUCAGACUGUGGGUGAUAAGAUUCAUAGUCGAAAGGGCAACAGCCCAGAUCGUCAGCUAAGGUCCCUAAAUGUAAGUUAAGUGGUAAAGGAUGUGGGAUUGCACAGACAACCAGGAUGUUGGCUUAGAAGCAGCCACUCAUUCAAAGAGUGCGUAAUAGCUCACUGGUCGAGUGAUCCUGCGCCGAAGAUUUCCGGGGCUAAAACUUACUACCGAAGCUACGGCAUCAGUAAUGAUGGGUAGGGGAGCUUCCCAUACGGGUUGAAGCAUGACCGUAAGGACAUGUGGACAGUAUGGGAGUGAGAAUGUUGGCAUGAGUAGCGAGAUGUGGGUGAGAAUCCCACAGGCCGUAAACCCAAGGUUUCCAGGGGAAGGUUCGUCCGCCCUGGGUUAGUCGGGACCUAAGCUGAGGCCGAAAGGCGUAGGUGAUGGACAACAGGUUGAUAUUCCUGUACUACCGAUAACCGUUUGAGAGAAGGGAUGACACAGUAGGAUAAGCUAAGCACACUGUUGGUUAUGUGUGCCCAAGCAUUGAGGCAGUCAAAGUAGGCAAAUCCGCUUUGAUAAUGCUGGGAUGUGAUGGGGAGCGAAAUUUAGUAGCGAAGUAGCUGAUUUCACACUGUCAAGAAAAGUCUCUAUCGAGGUUAAAGGUACCCGUACCGCAAACCGACACAGGUGGGUGAGGAGAGUAUCCUAAGGCCAGCGAGAGAACUGUUGUUAAGGAACUCGGCAAAAUGACCCCGUAACUUAGGGAUAAGGGGUGCCACCAUCAGGUGGCCGCAGAGAAUAGGCCCAAGCGACUGUUUACCAAAAACAUAGGUUUCUGCUAAGUCGCAAGACGAUGUAUAGGAGCUGACGCCUGCCCGGUGCUGGAAGGUUAAGGGGAUCUGUUAGAGCAAUCGAAGCAGUGAACUUAAGCCCCAGUAAACGGCGGCCGUAACUAUAACGGUCCUAAGGUAGCGAAAUUCCUUGUCGGGUAAGUUCCGACCCGCACGAAAGGCGUAACGAUUUGGGCACUGUCUCAACAACAGACUCGGUGAAAUUGUAAUUCCGGUGAAGAUGCCGGAUACCUGCGACAGGACGGAAAGACCCCAUGGAGCUUUACUGUAGCUUGACAUUGGGUCUUGGUACUACAUGUACAGGAUAGGUGGGAGGCUUUGAAACCAGGACGCCAGUUUUGGCGGAGCCAUCCUUGGGAUACCACCCUUGUAGUACUGGGACUCUAACCAUAGGCCAUGAAUCUGGUCUUGGGACACUGUCAGGUGGGCAGUUUGACUGGGGCGGUCGCCUCCCAAAAGGUAACGGAGGCGCUCAAAGGUUCUCUCAGUACGGUCGGAAAUCGUACGUAGAGUGUAAAGGCAAAAGAGAGCUUGAUUGCAAGACAUACAGGUCGAGCAAGGAUGAAAAUCGGACUUAGUGAUCCGGUGGUUCUGCGUGGAAGGGCCAUCGCUCAACGGAUAAAAGCUACCCUGGGGAUAACAGGCUUAUCUCCCCCAAGAGUCCACAUCGACGGGGAGGUUUGGCACCUCGAUGUCGGCUCAUCACAUCCUGGGGCUGUAGUAGGUCCCAAGGGUUGGGCUGUUCGCCCAUUAAAGUGGUACGCGAGCUGGGUUCAGAACGUCGUGAGACAGUUCGGUCCCUAUCCGUCGCAGGCGUAGGAAAUU
rnacentral:rRNA from 1 species